GGUGGGGUGGCAGAGCGGCCUAACGCGCCUGCCUUGAGAGCAGGUGGCCUCCAAGCCUCAUGGGUUCAAAUCCCAUCCCCACCG
rnacentral:tRNA from 2 species